UACGUAGGGAGCAAGCGUUGUCCGGAAUAAUUGGGCGUAAAGCGCGCGUAGGCGGCCCGAUAAGUCCGCUGUGAAAGUCAACGGCUCAACUGUUGGAUGCCGGUGGAUACUGUCGGGCUAGAGUACGGAAGAGGCAAGUGGAAUUCCUGGUGUAGCGGUGGAAUGCGCAGAUAUCAGGAGGAACACCUAUAGCGAAGGCAGCUUGCUGGGACGUUACUGACGCUAAGGCGCGAAAGCGUGGGGAGCGAACAGG
rnacentral:rRNA from 1 species